rnacentral:rRNA from 1 species
UUAAGUCAGAUGUGAAAGACCCGGGCGUUAACCUCCGGAAUUGCAUUUGUAAACUAGGCAGGCUAGAGUCUUGUAGAGGGGGUAGGAAGUUUCUAGGUGUAGCGGUGAAAUAGCGUAGAGAUCUGAAGGAAUACCAGUGGCGAAGGCGGCCCCUCGGACAAAGACUGACGCUCAGAUGCGAAAGCGUGGGGAGCAAACAGGAUUAGAUACCCUGGUAG